rnacentral:rRNA from 1 species
CCUACGGGAGGCAGCAGUGGGGAAUUUUCCGCAAUGGGCGAAAGCCUGACGGAGCAACGCCGCGUGGGUGAUGAAGUCUUUCGGGACGUAAAACCCUUUCAGCAGGGACGAACACAAUGACGGUACCUGCAGAAGAAGCAUCGGCUAACUACGUGCCAGCAGCCGCGGUAAUACGUAGGAUGCGAGCGUUGUCCGGAUUUAUUGGGCGUAAAGCGAACGUAGGCGGUUUCUUAAGUUUGGUCUUAAAGACCGGGGCUCAACCCCGGGAAUGGACUGAAUACUGGGAGACUAGAGGAUGUUAGAGGAAAGUGGAAUUCCAAGUGUAGCGGUGAAAUGCGUAGAUAUUUGGAGGAACACCAGUGGCGAAAGCGGCUUUCUGGGACAUUUCUGACGCUGAGGUUCGAAAGCUCGGGGAGCAAACAGGAUUAGAUACCCUGGUAGUCCGAGCCGUAAACGAUGGACACUAGGUGUCGGGGGUAUCGACCCCCCGGUGCCGUAGCUAACGCGUUAAGUGUCCCGCCUGGGGAGGUACGGUCGCGAGACUAGUAACUUAAACUAGUAAUUAGACGGCGUGAGACGUCGCCGAACGGACGACACGAGGGAGUAGG